rnacentral:miRNA from 1 species
UUCUGUUUCAGUGAGCCUGGGUGGGGCCUGAGAUCCUGGAUUUCUAACAAGCCCCCAGGUGAAGCCCUUAC